AUCGAGCCGACGAGUCCCAAAUGGAACGAAACGCGUGUCCUGGAU
rnacentral:hammerhead_ribozyme from 1 species